rnacentral:rRNA from 1 species
CGGAAGACCGGAAGGGCUUCCCCGUAAGGGGGCCGUCCGGCGCGGAGACUUCCGGCGUUCCAGACGCAUUUGUCUCUCGUCCCGAGGACGCUGCAGCCGGUCUGGCAGUGCAAGCGCGACGGCCUGAAGGUCGGGAGCUGGCAGGUGGCCGGUGGCUCGCCUCGUGCGGGCUAUCGGUUGUUAGCCGUCCCGUCAGUGGCUCGUCGCCAGACCGUGGUGUCGCGAGUCCCUUCGGGGACUCCUCGUCUCCACCCCGUAGUUGCGGGACUGAUCGUGGCAAGGGUAGAUCGUGACGACCGUCGCACUCCUUUGGAGUGGGCGGACGUGCGGAAGGCCCCGUUGGCUGCGACGGACCCGUCGGGGACCGGAGGCUGGCAGCGAUUAGGUCGGUCACCCACCCGACCCGUCUUGAAACACGGACCAAGGAGUCUAACAUGUGCGCGAGUCAAUGGGUCUUGAUUAGGCCCAGGGGCGCAAUGAAAGCGAAGGUCGGCCUAGCGUCGACUGAGUCGGGAUCCUCUCUCCUCGUGGGGGAGGCGCACCGACGACACGUCCUAUCCGGCUCGCCGGUUGGGCGUAGUCUGAGCGUACACGUUGGGACCCGAAAGAUGGUGAACUAUGCCCGGACAGGACGAGGCCAGAGGAAACUCUGGUGGAGGUC